CUGCUCACCUGGCAGGGAGAAUACCACAAGCGACAAGGUGCUUCUCCUCGGUGAGACUCACACCGCUGCACUCCGGAGGUACCGAUCCACGCGGCUUCUCCAAAUGUGGGGNUUCCGGCUGCAUAAUUUAUAGCCUUGGUGGCNUGCAACAAUCCNCCU
rnacentral:snRNA from 11 species